rnacentral:lncRNA from 1 species
AUGGAUCUCACAGGACAUUGUAUUAUGUGCCAAAAGACUCCUCUGGGGAUCGGCUUGCCACACUCCACAUCUUCUCACUCUGCAAGGCUUGCAACUGUCCGCUCAGCCCCCACUGGUGGUGCUGCACUGGGAAGGAGUCAGAUCUCUGGGCUAUAGGCUCAUCCCUGGACAAAAGCACCAGAGGAAUGCUGUAAUGGAUAAUCUCACCAGAAAGAGAUGAAUGAGUGUCAAACAGACAAAAAUGGUGAGUGUCGAUCACAGACUCACAUGAUUUAUGGAGAGCUGGACCUUUAGGAAUGAGGAGCAGGACCACAUGGAAACUAAAAAAUUGUUAGCAACCAUUGUCUCUGAUAGUCUCUCAGUCUCUAGAUCUAUGCGUGCUCUUAUUUCUGCUUUUUGUUGAGCAUGUUCCUUUGUUCUCUCUACAAAAAAAAAAAAAAAAAAAGCCUUUAAUAAAAAUUCCUGUUUCUGGCUCCCCAUGACCUUACCUUCCAUGUGACUUUCACUCUGCCUGAUGCUGAUACUGGCCCACACAAUAUGGCUGUGCUGAUCAGCUCUCCACUGCCCUGUCUCAGCCUCUACUCCCAAUUCUAGAUGUCCAAGGGAAAGAAUACUGAAGUUGGGUCAGAGUCUAGUUAAGUUACAUUGACCCUUCCCAGCACUGUAAGUAGAUGGGGUAUUUUGAGAGAAGAAAUGUGUCUUCUGUUGACCUAUUCUACUUGACCGUGCAU